AUUGAACGCUGGCGGCAGGCCUAACACAUGCAAGUCGAACGAGUGGCGGACGGGUGAGUAAUGUCUGGGAAUCUGCCUGAUGGAGGGGGAUAACUACUGGAAACGGUAGCUAAUACCGCAUACUAUCAGAUGUGCCCAUAUGGGAUUAGCUAGUUGGUGGGGUAAAGGCUCACCAAGGCGACGAUCCCUAGCUGGUCUGAGAGGAUGACCAGCCACACUGGAACUGAGACACGGCCCAGACUCCUACGGGAGGCAGCAGUGGGGAAUAUUGCACAAUGGGCGCAAGCCUGAUGCAGCCAUGCCGCGUGUAUGAAGAAGGCCUUAGGGUUGUAAAGUACUUUCAGCGGGGAGGCGUUACCCGCAGAAGAAGCACCGGCUAACUCCGUGCCAGCAGCCGCGGUAAUAC
rnacentral:rRNA from 1 species